GCUCCUGUAGUCUAGCCCGGCCAAUGACGCGGGCCUUUCGAGCCUGAGACCCGGGUUCAAAUCCCGGCAGGAGCA
rnacentral:tRNA from 1 species